GACAGUAUGCGUGAAAGCUGCGAGGCACUAAAUACCAAGCAGAAGACAGAUUCCACUCCACAGAUUUAGGCUUCAGCUUGUUUUGAGGCUGUGCAUCCUCACGAUCCCCGGCCCACAUCAUCAACAAGUGAUCAGAUUCAAAGUUGAAGAUCCACCUUCACACUCAUCCAUUGCAUGUUUGACACCAACCUUCUUUUAAAUCUCUUUUUGAAUUAAACUGCCUUCGCUCUUCGUUCCUGG